rnacentral:lncRNA from 1 species
AUGCCUCUGCCUGCCUUACCCACACAUCUUCUCUUGGACCCUGGAUUCUAGAUUCUGGAGCAUCUGAUCACCUAUCUGGUAAUAAGGAUCUUUUCUCCUCUAUUACUACUACCUCUGCUUUACCUACUAUUACCUUAGCUAAUGGUUCUCAAACUGUGGCUAAAGGUAUUGGUUUGGCCCUUCCUCUGCCUUCUCUACCUCUCACUUCUGUCCUUUAUACUCUUGAAUGUCCUUUUAAUCUUAUUUCCAUGAGCAAAAUCACUCGUACUCUUAAUUGCUCUAUUACCUUUUCUGAAAAAUUUGUGACCUUGUAGGACCGGAGUACGGGGAAGACGAUUGGCAUAGGACGUGAGUCUCAAGGCCUCUAUCACCUCACCUUAGAUUCAUCUCCUGCAGUUUGCAUUUCCACUGAUGCUCCUCUCCUCAUUCACAAUCGUCUGGGCCACCCUAGUCUCUCCAAGUUCCAGAAGAUGGUUCCUCGUUUUUCCACUUUGUCGUCGCUUCCGUGUGAGUCAUGUUAGCUUGGGAAACAUACUCGUGUCUCGUUCCCAAAGCGUUUGAAUAAUCGGGCAAAGUUUCUUUUUGAGCUUGUCCACACUGAUGUUUGGGGUCCUUGUCGGACUGCGUCUACUUUAGGAUUUCAGUAUUUUGUCACUUUCAUUGAUGACUAUUCUCGAUGUACUUGGUUAUUUUUAAUGAAAAAUCGAGCUGAGUUAUUCUCUAUUUUCCAGAAAUUUUAUAUUGAAAUCCAAACCCAGUUCAAUAUUUCUAUUCGUGUGUUAUGCAGUGACAAUGCCAGGGAAUAUUUUUCAGCCCAAUUUACUUCGUUUAUGUCUCAUCAUGGGAUUCUUCAUCAGUCUUCUUGUGCUCAUACUCUUCAACAAAAUGGGGUAGCUGAACGCAAGAAUCGACAUCUUGUUGAGACAGCUCGUACUCUCCUCCUCCAUAGUAACGUUCCUUUUCGUUUUUUGGGGGAUGUUGUUCUUACCGCUUGUUAUUUGAUUAAUCGUAUGCCCUCCUCUGUCUUACACGAUCAGAUUCCUCACUUCCUUCUCUUCCCUGACCAACCACUUUAUUUCCUUCCUCCUCGUGUCUUUGGUUGUACUUGCUUUGUUCAUAUUCUCACUCCUGGACAGGACAAGCUUUCCACCAAAGCCAUGAAGUGCCUCUUCUUGGGAUAUUCCAGACUUCAGAAGGGUUAUCGUUGUUAUUCCCUUGAGACUCAUCGAUACUUUAUCUCCGCUGAUGUCACCUUCUUUGAGGACUCACCAUUCUUUUCCACCACUUCUGAGUCUCUUCCUGUUUCUGAAGUCUUGCCCAUUCCCAUUGUCUCCCCACCUGAUGCUAUGCCCCCUCGACCACUUCAGGUUUAUCAUCGUCGCCCUCGUGUCGUUGCUCCUCUCCCUUUUCCUGAGGCACCUGCUGACUCACUUCCUAUCCCUUCGGCUUCACCUGCCCCGACUUUGCCUUCUCCUAAUGACUUACCCAUUGCUAUUCGGAAAAGUACUCGCUCUACUUGUAAUCCUCAUCCUAUUUACAAUUUUUUGAGUUAUCAUCAAUUAUCUUCACCCUAUUCUGCUUUUGUUUAUGCUAUAUCCUCUGUUUCUCUUCCAAAGAGCACCCAUGAAGCUCUUUCCCAUCCAGGCUGGCGACAGGCAAUGGUGGAUGAAAUGGCUGCUCUGCACUCUAAUGGCACUUGGGAUCUUGUUGUUUUACCCUCUGGUAAAUCUACAGUUGGUUGUCGUUGGGUCUAUGCAGUUAAGGUUGGUCCUGAUGGUCAGGUUGAUCGCCUUAAGGCCCGCUUAGUUGCUAAAGGCUAUACUCAAGUUUAUGGUUCUGAUUAUGGUGACACAUUCUCCCCUGUUGCCAAGAUUGCUUCUGUCCGCUUGCUUCUCUCCAUCGCUGCUAUGUGUUCUUGGCCUCUUUAUCAGUUGGAUAUUAAAAAUGUCUUCCUUCAUGGUGAUCUUGCCGAUGAAGUUUAUAUGGAGCAACCUCCUGGUUUUGUUGCUCAGGGGGAGUCUGGUUUAGUGUGCAGGUUACGCCGUUCUCUAUAUGGCUUGAAACAAUCUCCUCGAGCAUGGUUUAGCCGUUUUAGUUCUGUUGUUCAAGAGUUUGGCAUGCUUCGCAGUACAGCAGACCAUUCAGUUUUUUAUCAUCAUAACUCCUUGGGGCAGUGUAUUUAUCUGGUUGUUUAUGUGGACGACAUCGUCAUUACAGGCAGUGAUCAGGAUGGUAUUCAGAAACUAAAGCAACAUCUUUUUACCCACUUUCAGACCAAAGACUUGGGGAAACUCAAGUAUUUCUUGGGAAUUGAGAUAGCUCAAUCCAGUUCUGGUGUGGUCCUUUCCCAAAGGAAGUAUGCUUUAGACAUCCUAAAAGAAACCGGUAUGUUAGACUGUAAACCGGUAGACACACCUAUGGAUCUGAAUGUCAAACUUGUACCAGGACAGGGGGAGCCUUUAGGAGACCCCGGGAGAUAUCGACGGCUCGUAGGUAAAUUGAACUAUCUCACUAUUACUCGUCCAGACAUUUCUUUUCCUGUGAGUGUUGUUAGUCAAUUCCUACAGUCACCAUGUGAUAGCCAUUGGGAUGCCGUAAUCCGCAUUACAUAUUGCAUCCAAUCCAGUCUUUCAUGAAAGGACCAAGCAUAUUGAAGUUGACUGUCAUUUCAUUAGAGAGAAGAUCGCAUCAAGAUGUGUUGCUACAAGUUUUGUUAAUUCAAAUAAUCAACUAGCAGACAUCUUCACUAAAUCUCUCAGAGGUCUUAGGAUUAAAUAUAUUUGUAACAAGCUUGGUGCAUAUGACGUAUAUGCUCCAGCUUGAGGGGGAGUGUUGAAUAUAAUGUAUUUAUAGUAUAUUAUCUUUCCUUGUUAAUAUAGGUCACAUGUAUGGUAGUUAGGACUCCUAGCCUUGUAUAUAUAUAUAUCUCUCUCAAUUGUAAGUGCACAUUUUACAUGAAUGAGAAUUAAGGUUUUUCUCCUUUCUCUCUCUCUCUCAACAACAUGAAAUACAAAUACAUAUGCAAGUAUGCAUGUACUGUUAUAUCAAUGACAAAAUUAGUUGUCUACACCUAGAUUUGUAUUUAAAAGUACUCUAUGUAGUAAAUCUCUUCAAGUACACAACCUAUUUGUAGCCUCUUUGCAACUUGCCUAUGAUAGCCCUUAUACAAGCCAAUGCAGCCCUCACCCUAAGCUAUAAUAGGUCCAUAUAGUGUGAAUGGAUUAACCUCCCACUAGUAUAUGACAAUGCAUUGCAUCUUUAAAUGGUUUUUGUCCAUUCUUUUGGGAGUUUGCAUUGUGUUAUGCAUGAUCAUACAAUAGUAUGGGUAUAUCUAUAAUUUUUCUUGGACAAGUAUAAAUGAUUAAGAGUAAUGACCCUAGUAACUCUUAAACCUUUCUACCAAUGCUUAAAUGCUCAAGGUUGUUACUAAUCAUGUUGACCACUUUUUCCUUUCAAAUUGGAAAUAAACAUUUUAUCAAUGAUAAAUGUUAACAAAUUAGUUAAGAAUCCCUAUCAAAUACAAAAGUCAAAGGUUGAUGAUUACCUUAUUUUUUUCAUUCCUAUAUAACAAAUGUAUUUCAAGGUCUAAGAUGUUGCCUAAAUAUAUGACAUUGAAACAAAAAUCAUGACUACCAAACAAGAUACCAUGUCUAUCAUAGAAUAUUAUAAAACAAUAAAGGGACUGUGGCUAUAGUUAGACCAUUACCAAAAUUUCAAAAUGAAGUGUAGUAAAAAUUUUACCAAGAACACUCGAUUUGUGGUAGGAGAUGGAGAGAGGAUCCAUUUUUGGGAAGAGUUAUAGUGGGGGGACUAACCUUUGGGCUCCCAAUUUCUAGGACUUUUCAAAAUAGUGACAGUUAAAAAUCUUCCCAUCUCUUCAAUUCUUGGGUUUACUCAUCCCUUCUCUUGGAACUUUAAUUUCUAUCAUAACAUUUCUGAUUCUGAGAUGGAAAAAUUAGAAGGUCUCAUGUCUUCUCUUUCUUGUUUGCACUUGACCCCAUUUGUUCCAGAUGUGAGAACAUGGUCUUUAUCUUUUUCAAGGUUAUUUAUAGUCAAGUGUUUCUUUCUAGUCUUGUCCCAUAUUUCUAAUUCAUCUCCAACUUUCCCUAUUAAUUUUGUUUGGAAAUCUCAAGUCCUUUUUAAGGUUAAGUCCUUUGUCUAAUUAGUGGCACACGAGAAAGUAAAUAACAACGACUUGCUACAGUUGAGAAGGCCUUACAAAGCUCUCAGUCCUGACAUCUGUAAGUUGUAUAUGGAGCAUGGAGAAUCAACAAAUCAUCUCUUCUUACAUUGUCCUUUGACAAUGGGGUUGUUGCAUAAAUUAGUUCAAAUAACCAAAAUGGAUUGGGUCCCCCGGAUGAGCAUUUUUGACAUGAUGACCAUUAAUUAUAAGGGAUUGGGAAGAUCCAAGAGAGGCCUAGUAUUGUAGCAAACCGCUUGUAUUGCUUUAAUUUGGGUUAUGUGGUGGGAAAGAAAUGUUAGGAUAUUUGAGGACAAUGCAAGGAAUUCAGAGGUUCUAUGGGAUAUUAUUCACUUCCUCGCUUCUUUUUGGGCUUUUUGCACCACAACUUUUAAGGACAUUCCCCUUAAUGUGGUUCAAUUAGAUUGGCUAGCACUGUGUAGCUCUAAGGGUGUGAGUUAGUAUGGAGAUGUUUUUUGUAAUUACUAAAUAGCUUGUUGCUUUUGGCAUUCAAUAUGUUUAGCUUUCAUUUGUGGGAUUAUUUCUCAUCCUUCUUUUGUAUUUCUUAAUUUCUAUUUCAAUACAAUUCAUUAUUGUUUCCUAUCGAAAAGUGUAGUGAAAAUUUUUCUAUGUUAUCACAAAAAUAUGUAGAAAGAGAGAAUCUUUGAGUUCUUAACUAGUAUUCAUGUGGAAUAUGACCAAGUUCAUAUUUAGGUCCUAGAGAAAAAGGUCUUGUCAUCCUUAAGUGAAGUUUUCUCAAUAAUAAGGGUUAAAGAAGGAUGUCAGUUAGUAAUUCUUGAUAAUCUCUCUAUCAAAGGUUCAAUACUUAUAGCCAAAUCAAACAAUGGAGUGCUUGUUAUGAAUCAAGGGUCACAAACUAAUAGCAACGGAUUUACUAUAAAAUUUAGGAAAAUAGAAGCACUCAAAUAAACUAUUUAUAAAUGGUUUAUGGUGCAACAUCUAUAAAAAGCCAAGGCACACCAAAGAGAAUUUUUGGAAGCUUUAUGAAAAAUAUCUAUCUAACCAAAAUAAUGACAACUGAGGAGCACAAAAUGGAUGGCAGGGAGGACAAGCAUAAGUUUCUCAUUUUGAAGAAGCCCACUAAGAGAAUACAACAAAUAAUUUUAAAAGUGGAGGAUUCAAUAAAGAGGAAAUUCAACAACUUAGAAAUCUCCUCUUAUCACUAGAAAACCUAAAUUCUUUGUGCUCUUUGGCAUGUUCAGGUAAGUAUUUUGAUUCUCAUGCUUUUAAUGCCUCAAACAAUUGUUUCUGAAGUUCUUAGGUCAUUGACUCAAGCACUAUUGACCAUAUGACAAAUUGUUUGCAUCACUUCUCUACAUAUAUUCCAUGUCUCAAAACCAACAAGAUUAAAAUAGAUUAUAGUACUUUAGCUACAAUAGCUGGUCACCAUUUUUUCCCUUAGGUUAACCUAUUAAGUAGAUGUCUAAACUUUGACACGACAAGACCAUGACCUAUCAACACAAAUUGCUAACCCUACCUAAAGGCUUAACAUGAGAGUGAUCUAACAAGUUGAAGUAACAACAACAAGCUAAUCAUAAAGCUUGUUUGAAGUAGUAAUUAAGCUAACAAAAACUUUUAACUAGAAGAAGUUUUUUCACAAAAAAAAAAUCCAUAAAUUAAAUUACGUCAAAAUUCCAAAAAGGUAUUAUAAAAAAUAAACCACUAAUAAGAAAAAUAUCCAAUUAAACUUGAAGAAACUUAAGGGAGAAAAAAAUACUUUUUUUUUCUAUUUACAUUCAAACUAAUUCUUACAUCAAUAUUUAUCAAUGUUUUAAAAACCGGACCGAACCGGUCGGACCGUUUGAACCGGCUGUGAACCGAAUGAACAAAUCGGUUCCCUGCGAAACGGUCGGUUCAAUUGAUUUUUUUUUUAAAAAAAAAACAACAUCAAAACGACGCCGUUUUGGAGUCCUUAGCCUGCAACCUCCACAGUCCAAACCCUCUCUCCUCCCCCUGCAGCAGCUACUGCCCUGCUGCCCUCCGCAGACACGUCGCGGCCCGCAACACCCAAUCAACUCCCGUCGGUGGCCGUUACAAGACGACAACCCUCCCUGUCGUCGCCUCUUCCAAUCUUUCCAAUUCCUUGCCAUGGCGUUGGAAACCCCUCCCUGCCUCUGGAAGCCUGGAAACCACCCUGACCGGCUAGUACCCCCCCACUCCCCGACGUUUCAGAGAAAAGAAAGGGAAAUGGAAAGAAACGAAAAAAGAAAAAAAAAAUUGUCAUUAUUCAUGCAAUGUAGUUUCUUUUUCAAAUAAAAAAUUGUCUUUCUAGUUUGAUAUUUUUCUUUUUGGGGUUCAAUUAAUUUGGUAGGUUAACUAAUUUCUUUACUAAUUUAGAUAGAAUUUAUUAAUUUUAAAUUAUAUGUAAAAGAAUAAAAUAUAUAUUUAUUACGUCACCGGUUCGACCGCUGGUCCGACCAAUGAACCGUGAACCAGUAACUUUUCCGGUUCAAUGACCAGUCCGGUUCUGAAAAUGUUGAUAUUUAUACAUGAAUGGCUGAGGUCAUCUGUCUUAGAAAAAGAAAUCUAAUCCUUGAUUUUAGGAGAAAGUCUCUCAUAAAAUCAAAAAAUAAAAUUAAAAUAGUAAACUAUAUGCAGUACAGUUGUGCGGUACAACUAUAUGCAUGGCUAUACCUUCUAGAUUUCCACACUCCCCCUCAAGUUGGGUUGUAAAUGUUGUUUUCAGCUUGGAUCUCAAGUCUUCAAAGUUACUUCUAGAAAGUGUCUUGGAAAAAACGUCUGUUGUUUGGAAAAUUGUUGGAGUGUAAACCAAUGAAAUCGUCCCUUUUUCUAUUUUCUCCUUAAUGAAAUGACAAUUUAUUUCCACAUGCUUUGUCCAAUCAUGAUGAACCGAGUUCUUAGCGAUAUUUAUGGUAGCUUGAUUAUUACAAAACAUCUUCAUAGAAUAUUCUACUGGAAUGCUCAGCUCAUUUAAGAGUCUCUUUAACCACAUUCCUUCACAAAUUCCAUAUGUCAUAACUCUAAGUUCUGCUUUUGCACUACUUCGAGCUAUAACAAAUUGUUUUUUAUUUUGCCAAGUAACCAAAUUCCCCCAUACAUGGGUGCAAUAUGUGAGCUUCUUUGGUUGAAGAUUAUUCUUAAUGAUCCUAACGUUAAAUGGGAAGAAACAAUUAAGUUGUAUUGUGACAACAAGUAAGCUAUUAAUGUUGCACACUAUCCUAUCCAACAUGAUCGUAGAAAGCAUGUGGAAGUUGAUAGACAUUUCAUCAAAGAGAAGUUGAAAAAUAACUUGAUUUGUACUCCCUAUGUUUCAAUGGAAGGACAACUAGCAAAUUUCUUGACUAAAGGACUUCCAAGUCAAGCAUUCCAGAUGAUCACAAGCAAGUUGGGAAUAGACAAUAUUUAUUCACCAGUUUAAGGGAAGUGUUGAUGGAUCAAGUAAGAAUCCCUAUAGAAUAGAGAAGUCAAAGAUUGAUAGUUAGUUGAUUUUCAAAUUCAGGAAAUUACUCUUUUUUGCCUAUUUUCCCAUGUAAGUCAGAUUCCUUGAUUCCGUAAUUUUAGGACAAAUAUUUGGAAAGUUAGUUUUUUCCUUUUUCUAUUGUGUAUAGACACCUAUACACUUGUACAAAUAUUUUUUUUUUUUAUUAUUGGAAACAAGACAAAGAUUUAUUGAUAGAUAAAAAGAAGUACAAAGAGAAGGAUGAGGAAUCCUCCCACCAAAGAAAGCUAAACUACAGUAAAUUACACUGAAAAACAAGCGAACACUCUAAAAGGACCAUUCCUUAUGGAGUACACACCGCUAUCCAAUCAAGUUGUAUCACAUUAAGGGGAGUCCCCAUAAAAACCUUGGGACAAAAAGCCCAAAGAGAAGUAAGGAAAACAAUAGAGUCCCAAAGAUUCUCUAAAUUCCUUGUUUUAUCCUAAAAAAUCUUUGCAUUUCUUUCCCCCCACACAACCCGAAUAAGAGCGAUACUUGCAGCUUGCCACAAGGCUAUCCCCCUCUUAGAAGAACCAAAACCAUUAAAUUUGAUGGACAUCAUGUCAAAGAUGCUCCUCGGGGGGACCCAAUCCAUCUUAGCUAACUGAAAUAACCUGUGCCACAACUCAAUCGUCAAGGAGCAAUGAAGAAAAUAUGAUCUGCUGAUUCCCCAUGCUUCAUGCACAGAAUACAAAUAUCAGGACUAAGGGCUUUGUAGGGUCUUCUCACUUGUAGCAUGUCAUUAGUAUUCACCUUCUUGUGUGCCACUAACCAGACAAAGGACUUCACUUUGAAAGGAACUUGAGAAUUCCAAACGAACUUAGAAGGGAAAACCUGAGGAGAUCCAAAAAAUUGAGAUAAUGCUAGAAAGAAGGAUUUAACUGAAAAAAGCCCUGAAGAAGAUAAUGGCCAAAAUCUGGCAUCUGGAGCCGAAGAAGAUAAAUGCAAUCCAUCGAGAGACCGCAUGAGGUCUUCUAAGUCCUCUAUCUCAGAAUCUGUCAGGUUACGACGGAAAAUUAAAUUCCAAGAGAAAGGAUGAGUAGGACCGAUAACUGAAGAAAUAGAUAUGUUUUUGUCCAAGACUACUCUAAAUAGUCUUGGAUAUUGGGUUCCCAAAGGUUGGUCCCCCCACCACAAAUCUUCCUAGAACCGAAUUCUUUUCCCAUUUCCUACCACAAACCGAGUAAAUGAGGAAAACUCCUGAAAGACUUGUGUAAUAGCCUUCCAAGGACAGCGAUGUGACCAUCUGACUAAAGUGUUAGCAUCCCAACCAUUGGAGUGUGAACCAUAAAUGCUUAGUAUGACCUGAUGCCAUAGAGCUGAACCCUCUCUAGAGUACCUCCACAGCCAUUUCCUUAAAAGAGCGAAAUUCCUCAGAGAAAUAUUCCCAAAACCCAAACCCCCUAUUUCCUUCGGUUUACACACAACAUCCCACCUCACUAAAUGAUCUUUUUUGCCUUCCCCAAUCCCUGACCAUAAAAAAUCCCUUUGCAACCUCUCGAUUUUUGCAGCGACUGAAACGGGUAACUUAAAUAAAUAAAGAAAGUAACAGGGCAUAUGGGUAAGGCAAGAUUAGAUAAGAUUUAUCCUCUCCCUGAAUGAUAAGUAUGUCUUUUGCCAUCCAUCUAAUCUUCUUGAAAUUCUCUCAAUCACUGGAUCCCAAAAUCCACCUGCCCUGGGGUUCCCACCCAAAGGAAGACCCAAAUUGAGUAUAGGCCAGGCAGAAGCCUUGCAGUCAAGCGUCUCAGCCAAACUUGAAAGAUGAGCUUGAUCCAAAUUGAUACCAUAAAUAUUACUCUUGUCAAGGUUGACCUUAAGCCCAGAAAUAUGCCCAAACGCUAACAAAAGACUCUUGAGAGUCUGCAAAUCUUCCUCCCUUGUGUUAGAAAAGAAGAUGGUAUCAUCGGCAAAUUGCAAAUGAGAUACCCUAGUUCUGUUUCUACCCACCCUAAAACCCUCCAACAUAUUUCUCUCUUCUGCUCUCAAAAGCAUCCUACUCAGUACAUCUGCUACUAAAGUAAACACUUGUACAGAUAUUCAAAAUACAAUAAUACACAUAUUCAACUUCAAUAAAUCAAAGCUACAAGGAAGGAUGAGCUAUCAUGUUGACUUUCUAAUGUAUUUUUUGUGUAAGAAAGCAGUCCUAAUGUUCAGUUUUUUUUUUUUUCCCAGGCAAAAAAACCCACUUUAUCAAAUAUCAAUUUGGAUAUACCAGUUGGCAGCUUAGUUGCAGUUGUUGGUCGUACUGGAGAAGGAAAGACAUCACUUAUAUCAGCAAUGCUUGGGGAGCUGCCUCCUGCAGCAGAUGCAAGUGUUGUUAUUAGAGGGGCUGUUGCUUAUGUUCCUGAAGUUUCAUGGAUUUUCAAUGCCACUGUGAGUUGCUGGAUGCUUGUAUUCUUUGGUUCUGUUGCAUAGCUUAGCUAGAUACUGGCCAUAUUUUGGAACAUUAGUGGAUCUUAUAGUGAAUCUCAUCCAUUUUUUACCAAUUGCACAUCGCUGACCUUCAAAGUUUGUCCUUACAGGUACGUGAAAACAUAUUAUUUGGAUCUAAUUUUGAACCUGCACGGUAUUGGAAGGCUAUUGCUGUAACUGCAUUACAACAUGACCUUGACUUACUACCUGUUAAGUGUAUUCACAAAAUUAUACAUUCCAGUUAAUUCUCAUUAGGAUGUAAUUUUCAUUGUGUUGAUAGGUUUUUUACCUAAUGUCUUAUUUAUCCCUUUUUUUUCUCAAGGUCAUGAUCUUACAGAAAUUGGUGAAAGAGGGGUGAAUAUUAGUGGUGGGCAAAAGCAAAGAGUUUCCAUGGCUAGGGCAGUAUAUUCCAAGUCAGAUAUAUACAUAUUUGAUGAUCCUUUAAGUGCUCUAGAUGCACAUGUUGCUCAACAGGUAUUCUAAUAUUUCUUUUCACCAUUUCUAUUUCUAUUGCAUUCCACUCCAAGCCGAAUAUGGUUACCAUAAUGUAUGUGAUAUUUUUUAAGCCCAUGUUAAUUCUGUUGAAAUUGUAACAUAUGUUUGAUGGAAAGCAAUUUUCCAAAUCCAAAAGGUUGAUCAUCUUUUGCUUGUUAGAAACGGACAAUCCAUUUCAUGAAAUUGCACAGACAUACAAAAGAAGGAUUAUUACCCUUCUCAUUAAAAAAAAAAGACAAAAAAGAAGACAUAACUGCAGAAAGUAAAGCAUAGGUUUAACGACUGGAAGCAGUAACUUCCAAAAGACCUCAAUACAAAGAACUCCAAGGCAUUGACUAGGACUAUUGCUCAAGGAGGUGAAAUUCCUCUUCACAAGUCUGUAAUCGGGAGGCCCACCCUUUGAUUGAAAAUAUGUCCAUUUGAUUGGUUGAGAGAUGAAUCCAAUUGAAAGAAUGCUUCAAAAUUCUUUACUGUCAAGGACUUGAUGCAACCAUCCAUCAUACUUUCAAAGACCUCUCUCUUCAUUUGACACCUAAGAGAUGGCAAUGGCAGAUCCCCCUCUACUAUAAGGUUAGACAUGUCAAAAUACACAAAAAAACUCCAAAGAAACCAAGAACUCUGAUCAGUUUUUUUAUUCUUCUCUGUAUCCAUCUAUAUACAGAUAUAUAUCCUAUACACGGAGUCUAACUGAUUCCUAAAUUGUAUAUGGUAACAUUAACAAAUACAUGGUAAGCCAAUCUGUCAAUCUUUUCCUAUAUGUACAGCAAAUAUGAUUCUCAAAUUGUAUAUGGUAACAUUAACAUCCCCCUUCAAAUUGAUGCUGGUAAGUCAACCAACAACAAUUUGCCAACAAGAAAUUGAUGUCGCUGUCGAGUCAAAGCUUUGGUGAAGAUAUUAGCCACUUGGAGAUCAGAAGAGAUGUGAGGAAGAGAUAUCACCCAACUUUCCAAGGUGUCUCGAAUAGAAUGACAAUCAACCUCAAUGUGCUUGGUACGUUCAUGAAAAAGGGGAUUGGUGGCAAUCUGAAUAGCACUAGUGUUAUCAGCAUGAAGAGGUGUAGAAGUAGUCUGAGGAAACCCAAGCUCCUCAAGAAGACCGCGUAGCCAUACAAUUUCAGAACAAGCAGUAGACAUGGCACGAUACUCGGCCUCGGUAGAGGAUUUAGAAACACGAUCUUGUUUCUUACAUCUCCAAGAAAUUAAGGCAUCACCUAAAAACAUACACCAACCCAUAGUAGAUAGACGUGUAUCUGGACACCCAGCCCAAUCAGCAUCACUAUACGCAACAAGUUGAAGAGAGGAGCUAGUAGGAAAGAAUAACCCAUGAGUAGGUGAACCUUGAAGAUAGUGGAUGAUGCGUCAAACUACAGCAAGAUGGAGAUGUCGAAGAGAAGUCAUAAAUUGAUUGACCUAAUGAACAACAUAGGAGAUAUCAGGUCGAGUAGUGGUCAAGUAGAUAAGACUCCCAACUAGGCGCCCAUAGAGAGUAGGAUCAUCCAGAAGGUCCUCUUCAUCUUUCCUGUAUUCGACAUUUACCUCCAUAGGAGUAUCAACAGAAGAAGUGUCCUCCAAACCAGCCAAAGUGAUAAGAUCUUGAAUAUACUUAUGUUGGUUCAUGAAAAUACCACUAGCCCGAUGAUGAACUUCCAAUCCUAAGAAGUAUGUGAGUUGUCCAAGAUCUUUCAUAUGGAAAGUUGUAUGUAACAUCCGCUGAAGCUUAGUAAUCAAACCACAGUCGAUGCCGGUAAUGAUAAUAUCAUCCACAUAAACCAAGAAAAGGAUUAUACCCAACGUAGACAUGUGGAAGAAGAGGGAAGAAUCAUAUUGACUUUGGGUAAAACUGAAGGAAAGAAUUGUACUGCGAAACUUCUCAAACCAAGCCCGGGGCGCUUGCUUGAGCCCAUACAAAGAACGUUUUAGCUUACAAACAUCAUAAGGAGAAGAAUUAGUCAUACCAGAGGGAAGCUUCAUGUAAAUCUCUUCCUGGAGAUCACCAUGAAGAAAAGCAUUUUUUGCAUCCAUCUGAUGUAGUUGUCAUGACUGUGAAGCGGCAAUAGCUAAGAUGGUUCAAAUCGUGGUCAUUUUGGCAACAGGAGCAAAUGUCUCCUCAUAAUCAACCCCAUAUUCCUGCUUGUUACCUAGAGCUACGAGGCGAGCUUUGUACCAGUCCAAAGAGCCAUCAGAACGAAGUUUUACAGAGAAAACCCAUUUACUCCCAAUAGGUUUGACUAUAGGAAGACAAGGAACAAUAUCCCAAGUAUGAUUCUCCUCAAGUGCUUGAAGUUCUGCUUGCAUUGCAUUUUGCCAACACUCAUGUUCCAUGGCCUGUUUGUAGCAAGAGGGAAUAGAAAUAGUGGAUAAAGUAGCAAUAAGAGAGACAGGAGAGAAGAAUCCAUACCAAUCAGGGGGUCGAGAAAGACGAGUAGACCGACGAAAAGUGGUGGAAGCAGGAGCAGGAUUAGGAUCAAGCGUCGGGUCAAGAUCGGAAGGGGGCACAAAGGAAGUGGAACUGGACUUCGACUACGUCUUUCAUACACAAAACCAGGUUUGAACCUUUCCACAAUUGUUGGGGAUUCAGAAAAACUAGGCAGAAGAGAUACAGAUGUAGAUGGCAGCUCAACAUGAGAUGGAAAGAAAUAUUGAUUUUCAAAGAAAAUCACAUUCCGGGAAACUCGUAUACGACGAGCAUGGGGAUCAUAACAAACAUAACCCUUGUGAGGGAUAACAUAACCAAGAUAAGCAUACUUAACAAACUGAUCAAUGAGUUUAUGUUGUUCAUGAGUAGGUAGAUGCACAAAACAAACACAACCAAAUGUACGAAGAUCAGAAUAUAAAGGCGAAUGGCCAAAUAACUUAGAGAAAGGAGAAACAUGAUUUAACAUAGGAGAGGGUAAGUGAUUGAUCAAAUGAACUGCAGUAGUAAGUGCUUCACACCAAAAACGAGGAGGAACCGAUGAGUCAAGUAAAAGAGUUCUUACCACAUCAAGAAGGUGGCGAUUUUUCCUCUCAGCAACAUCGUUUUGUUGUGGUGUCAAAGGACGAGAAUGCUGAGAGAUGAUCCCUUUGCUUUGAAGAAAGUCCUGAAACUCAUUAGACAUGUAUUCUCCGCCAGAAUCAAAGCGCAAGACCUUGAUGCUGGCAGAGAAUGGAGUCUCAAUAAGUGCAAGAAAGCGUUUAAAGACUGAAAAAACUUCAGCCUUAGCCCAGAGGAAGUAAACUCAAGUAAAGCGACUAAAUUCAUCAAUGAAAGUAACAAAGUACUUGUAAUGUGCAUGAGAAACAAUAGGUGCAAUCCCCCAAACAUCACUAUGUAUAAUAUCAAAACAUUGUGAGGCACGAGAUGCGGAAUGAGGAAAAGGUAGAACUUUACUUUUUCCAAGUUUGUAUGACGUACAAUCGAAAGAAAGAUCGAGAGAAGAACAUGCUUUAUUUCCCAAUAAUACAGCAUUAAAAAAAGUACGAAGUACAUCAGAGUUUAGGUGGCCAAAACAUCUAUGCCACAUCUUAUGUCCAGAACCAACAACAUUACAUGCAAAGGAAAGUAAAGGAAAACUAGGAACAAUAGUAGAAAAAGAAACAUGAAGAGGAAAGAGUUGUCCCACUUUAGGCCCCUUCGCGAUCAUCUUCCCAGACACUUGAUCCUGCACAACACAACCAGAACGGGAGAAAUUGACAUUACAAUUAUUAUCAACCAAUUGACCAACAAAAAUAAGAUUUGUGGAGAGGUCAGGAGACACAAAAACAUCAGUUAAGGAAGAAGAAAGAUCACAAACAGCACUGAUAGGCAAAGAACUGCCAUCAGCGGUGUUAAUUUUCAGAUUUCCAUCAUAAUUUCUGACAUUGGAAAGAGAAAGAAUAGUAUUCGUCAUAUGGUUAGAAGCUCUAGAGUCAAAAUACCAUGGCUUAGAAGAAACCGUAUGAUUACUUGAGAGCCCAAAAGCAGAAAAAGCAGAAAUGAUCAUUUGUUGUACCAUUUCAGGAGUGAGUAUGUUCAGGCAAUGCAGGAAUAGGAACAACUGACGAGGCAGCAAGCAAUGCAGCAGAACAAGAGGCACCGAUAGAGGCAUGAUAAGCAGUACCCUGCUUCCUUUCAGGUCGAAUGGGACAAGCAGAGAUGAUAUGACCUUAUUUCUUGCAGUAGUUACAGAACUUCUUAGGACAAUCCCGAACAAUGUGACCAAAAUCUUUACAACUAAAGCACUAGACAACACGCAUGUCUCGACCCUUAUUCCGCCCUUGUGCUGCAUAAGCCACAAAAACAGGUGCACUAACAUUAGCCCGAUGUUCCAUAGUAGCUUGAGUUACGAUACGUUGCUCCUCACGCAGAAGUUCACUCGAGCAGGCAUCCAAAGAUGGUACAGGAUGACGAUUCAUCAGAUUAGACUGUGCAAUUUCAAAGUCGGGUCGUAGCUUCAUCAAGAAUUGAUCUCGCUUGCUGGUUGCAUGCAUUGCCU